UACGAAGGGGGCUAGCGUUGCUCGGAAUUACUGGGCGUAAAGCGCACGUAGGCGGAUUGUUAAGUCAGGGGUGAAAUCCUGGAGCUCAACUCCAGAACUGCCUUUGAUACUGGCGAGCUUGAGUCCGGGAGAGGUGAGUGGAACUGCGAGUGUAGAGGUGAAAUUCGUAGAUAUUCGCAAGAACACCAGUGGCGAAGGCGGCUCACUGGCCCGGUACUGACGCUGAGGUGCGAAAGCGUGGGGAGCAAACAGG
rnacentral:rRNA from 1 species